UGACUGUGGCAGCAGAGAAAAGGUCAGGAUCACUACAGUUAUAACAAUUUGUUUUGAAUGUGAAUGUCUUGCUAGCAUGGCUAAAAACACCUGUAUUUAUUUAUAAUGCUCACAAAGUAGUCUGAGUCUUAUGUACAUAUUAGUAGAUCUAGAACACUUAUAAAAUAGCAGUCUUAUUGUGUAUUGGCUUGGCUAUAGGAUUCAAGAAUUCAUGUGGGUUUAAAAGAAAAACAAAUGCAAAUUGAGUUUAUUGUGAAUUAACUAAAAGUUUUGUUUCAUGGAAAGUUUUAGAUUGAUGGUGGUUAUCGCUUCUAGUGUUAAUGUCUCUCAGAUUGUCAUAAUGUAUGAAUAUUCCUCCUCACACUCGUCAUUAAGCCGAGUUCCUUCUUUCAGGAACCACAUGAGCAAAGGCCCCGUUGAACACAGUAAUUCAGUGAUAAGACACCAAAUUGACAUUAACCUCUACAACAUACACCUUUUACACAUAAACAUAAGCUAUUUUCAUCUUUACCUAAUAGUCAUGCCCUAAUAACUGCAAUACUUUGGCGAGAUAACUUAAAGCACAGCAGGUUGCAACAAACUCACUUUUUAAUAUUGAUUUUCAUAGUAUUUUUAACAGUUUCCACAUAAACACAUUUAUGCAUAACCCAAAAGUCUGUCAUUACAAUUCAUAAAUAUUGCAGCUAUAUAUAUAUAAAAAUCAUGUCUAUAUUUUCACUCUGUCAGCUGCAGACCAAGCUUACAACUAAUAGUAAGACAGGAUCAUCCUCCCCACUUUUGUUGAUUAAGGAAGGGUAGAAAGAACGAGUGGGUUCAAAUGAAUAUCGCCGCCCAAAAGCUGCUCUGGAGCUUUUCAUCGCAUCACAAGAUCUUCCUCAUCAAAUGGAUUGUGCCCAGUUGUCAUAGGAAUGUAGAGUUGAUGUUGAAAUUUAGACUUUUCUGAAGAACUACAAUUUUGAAUGUUUACAAUUCCAUGAAAACUGGGAAAACCCCAUCUGCUGAGGAGGAACUGAAAGCAAACAGCUCCUAAAUGAUACUUUUGGGGAGAUUGUAAGGUUUCAAACAAAACAACACUUCACCGGGUACUUCAUGAAUAUGGAGCUUGAACUUGGGCCAGAGCAGAUCGCUGCAGGAAGGCGGCACAAUGUCAGACUAGAUGUCAUCAACUUGAGGAACUGUCUUCUGAAUCGAAAACCUGGACACCCUUUCGGUGUCCAUGCCUAAACUGCAGCGCCGCCUCGCCAGAGAACCUGACCCGCCUGUGCCCGUAAUAGCAAACAUCAGGACGGACUGCCUGAGAUCACUCUUCACUUAUAAAUAUGAGGACAUGGAGAAUACUACGUGCUGUAGUUUGGUGAAAACCAGCACAGGUCAUCAUGGUGAACCCGGCAGGCUUAAGAUCACUCCGUCCAGGCCUCCCGCUGGCCUCCCGCUGGCCUCCCGCUGGCCUCCCGCUGGCCUCCCGCUGGCCUCCCGCUGGCCUCCCGCUGUCUCCAGUCCACCCAAACAAAGUUCAUAUCGCAGUUCUGAGAGCAGACCGGGGGAACGACAUCCUGCCUAUGGAGUGGGAGGGACGGCCGUACAGUCUAUAGUGCUGCAGAGGAGGAGAUAAAAGGCUGGUUCAGGGUGUCUGACUACACUGAAGAUGGCCACAUGAUACUAUCAGUAGUGUGCUACUUCCCCAUUGUGGAAGAGGACAGGGUGGAACAGGAGUAGUCUCAGAAAAAGAGGAAGAGGGAGGAGACCUCCACGGAUGACAUUAGCACUGACUUCCCUAAACGAAAAGGUCUCAGACUGUAAAAGUCUAGUGAUUAAAAGACAACCUACUAUUCCAAACCACCACAAGUACCUUAAUGUGAAGGAGUAUCAAGAAAUACUAAAAAGAUUUUCAUCCUGGUGGCAUCACACACUGCUGCAAAUCACCCAUCUGAUCAAGUGAGCAGGACAUCAUCACCUUCAAAGGCACGGAUGUGACUAAGGUCAUAUUGGAUCUUCUCUGCAGCUAAGAACAGUUAACUUUGUACAGCGAGAGAAAUGUUUAUUUUCUUUAAUAAUAAUAAUUAAAAAACUGUGAUUAAAAAGAAAGUUAGUCUCUAAUAUUUUGGUGUUGUUAUGUGUAGUCUAAAAAAGUCAAUUCAGAGAUUUAUGUGCUGAAAAGUACAAUUAAGGCAGAAAGCUGAGCUCCAACUGCCAUAGUAUAGCGCGUGCACUUUGCCAUAUAUAGCCUUUUAUGUUCCUGUGGCUGUGGUUGUAGCCAUUGCUGUGACUGGCUGUAUUUAUUGGUGUGGCUAUGGCAGUAGCUGUAGCAACUGUAUAUGGCUGUUGCUGCAGCUGUAACUUUAGUUUGUUGGUUGUGAUUUAUGUCUAGCUGGCUACUCUUUGCAGCAGCUAAGACACUGGUCAGCAAGACAAGUUGACCUACUAUCUAGCAUUGUACAUUGUAUUUCACUUUAUUUCUUUGUUUCCAUAAACUACUUGUGGAUGUCUUCUUCAUGGCCGAUUCACUUUGGGAUUGUAUUACAUAUUGGAAAAUAUCAUCUGUUUAUUAAACAUUAAAAUGUGUUACUCUCA